UCCCAGAUUACUUCUGAACUCGUAUUGC
rnacentral:sRNA from 1 species